rnacentral:rRNA from 1 species
AUGGCGGUGGCGAUCUUCCUCUCGGGCUUCCUCCUCGGCCUCCUCGCGCUCGCCCUCGCGGAGGGGGCGGCGCUUCUCUGGGCCGUCCGCGCCCUGCGCCGCCGCGGGCCAAGGCCUCCUCCGCCUCCGGAGGCCGCCGCCACCGAGCUCUCCGGCGACCGGCCGUUCCCCGCCGAGAAGCAGGGUUUUCUCUGGAUGUUAGAGCCAGGAAAGGUGCCAAAAGUUAGAAACGGCAACCGCUUACCACCAACUGGGGUUCAGAAAGGCGUGAAGGAUAAAAAGAACAUCGUCGAGGUUUCUCCGAUAAGGAUGCGGGCUAAAAUUCAAGGCCACUCGCUUGUCUUGACAGGUUCCGAUGGUUCUCAGAUAACUAUUGGGCUUCUGGAUUGCACUGUUCUUGCUGUUUCUGCUUCUAACCUACCGUCGCGUAAAUGGUCUAAGAGGUAUCCGAUAAAACUAGAAAGCAAGGGAUCUGAGAUUUGCAAGCGGAGCAAGGUAUGCUAUCUUUAUGUGGACACCUCUUGGGAGAAAGAAUCAUGGUGUAAAGCACUUCGUCUUGCAUCUUCUACAGACAAGGAGAAACUGAAAUUGCAUACCAGGUUGAGUGAAGAGUUCAGAAGUUACAUAUCCUCUUUACACGCUGGAUACCCUUGUUUCCUGAAAUCAACUGCACUUUCUGCUGAGGAUCGUGAAAUUAUGGACAAGGCAGUAAAGUCUGAUGGGUCGUCAAAAAUGCGCCUUUUCCUUAAGAAGUUGGCUAGGAAGGCAUCUAUAAAAGCUCCCCAGUUGACUAGAACAAGCUCAACCUCAGCACAAGCAGAAAGAAAGACGCUCCAAAAAACACGCAGCUACAAUGGUGCCGCACUGAUUGAUGCACAAGAAGAAAGGUCAAGCAGUAGUUCAUCAUUACUAGACAUAAAGCAACCCAGUACGCCUAGUUCUGAUUUCAGUUACAGCAACAGGUUCUCAGAUUCUCCUGAAACAAAUGUAGAUGAAAAGUUUACUGACGAAGGCACACUUUGUUGGAACCUCCUAAUCUCUCGGUUGUUUUUUGAUGCUAAAAUGAGUGAUGAUAUAAGUAAAUCCAUUAAAACACGCCUUCAGCGAAAAUUGUCAAACAUGAGAACUGCCUCCUAUAUAGGUGAAAUUACACUUACUGAUUUCAGUCUUGGGGAACUUCCACCAUAUUUGCGUAGGAUGAGAGUCGUCCCAAGGGAUCUCAAUGAACUGUGGGCUUUCGAAUUUGAUUUUGAAUAUUGUAGUGAAAUAAUACUGAAUGCUGAAGCAAGACUUGAGGUUCAGGAACCAGAGCUGAAAAAAGACAUAAUGAGAGCUACUCCCGAAGCGGAUACUAAUGGCAACCAAUUUGAACCUUCGCAACUUUUGGCUUCUGUAGUGGAAGAUGAAGAUGAGGCAGAUGUGUUAAGGCGCUCAAAAAGCACUGGGAGGACAUCAAGGUGGAAAACUAUCUUGCAUUCAAUCACUGACCAUGUCUCUCAGGUGCCGUUUUCGUUGGCAAUUAAAGUAACUUCUAUUCGUGGGACAAUGCGCAUGCAUAUAAAGCCUCCUCCCUCAGAUCAAAUCUGGUAUGGAUUUACAUCAAUGCCAGAGCUUGUGUGGGAAUUGGAGUCUUCAGUUGGGGACAGGAAGAUCACCAACAGCCACAUCGCUUCGCUUAUCAGCAACAGAAUCAAGGCUUCGCUUCACCAAAGCUUGGUACUGCCGAAUUGUGAAAGUAUUCCCAUGUCAUGGAUGAUAUCAGAGAAGGAUGAUUGGGUGCCUCGCAGAGCUGCACCUUUUAUAUGGCUGAAUCGUGAACACGGCGAGGCAGCAAGCAGUCAUAGUUCAGACAUGGGUAAGCUCCAGCCUGAUGAUGUUGCCGCACUAAAGGUCAGUUCCAACAGCGAAGCUAGCAAAUCAAGUCCACCUGCUCCUUCAACUAGAAGCGACGACGAAGCGCUGAAGAAGGUGACAUCCACUCGUUGGCCUAACCAAGAAUCCACAACAGAAGCAUCAACCAGCUCUGGUUCUUCCGUACCUUCAGAAGCUGAACCUUCUAACCAGUUGAUGGCGCCGCUGCUGAGCACCAGGGAAUUCGAGGAAGAUGCUUCUGAAAAUGCAGCAGUGGGCUCUUCUCUUCAGUUAGUAGCGGUGAUACCUGCUGGGCAUCGGCGGCCGCCAUUGUCAUCCUCUGCUUCUCCUGGGGAGUAUGACCUAAAGAGGAAAGGCAGCCAGCGAGCUGCGGUGAUCGGUUUGGGGAGGAAGAUGAGCGGCAAAUUGGAAGAAAAGACGCGGCAUAUUGUCGAGAAGAUUAAGGAGAGUUCUGGAAAGGAGCAAUAG